CCUACGGGAGGCAGCAGUGGGGAAUAUUGCACAAUGGGGGAAACCCUGAUGCAGCAACGCCGCGUGAGUGAAGAAGUAUUUCGGUAUGUAAAGCUCUAUCAGCAGGGAAGAAGAUGACGGUACCUGAGGAAGAAGCACCGGCUAACUACGUGCCAGCAGCCGCGGUAAUACGGAGGGUGCAAGCGUUAUCCGGAUUUACUGGGUGUAAAGGGCGCGUAGGCGGGGAGACAAGUCUGAUGUGAAAGCCCGGGGCUCAACCCUGGAACUGCUUUGGAAACUGCCUGACUGGAGUGUUGGAGAGGCAAGUGGAAUUCUUAGUGUAGCGGUGAAAUGCGUAGAGAUUAGGAAGAACACUAGUGGCGAAGGCGGCUUGCUGGACAGUAACUGACGUUGAGGCUCGAAAGCGUGGGGAGCAAACAGGAUUAGAUACCCGGGUAGUC
rnacentral:rRNA from 1 species